CUGGCCUCCUAUGUUCCUAACGGUCCUCAUCCGCGAGGGUGGGGAAUCAACCGCUAGGAUCGUUUACUUUGAGGAAAUUAGAGUGUUCAAAGCAGGCGUAACUCGCCUCCGAAUACGUUAGCAUGGGAUAAUGGAAUACGACUUCGGUCUUGUUUCGUUGGUUUCGCUUGGCUGAAGUAAUGAUUGAUAGGGACAGUUGGGGGCAUUAGUAUUUAGUUGUCAGAGGUGAAAUUUUAGGAUUUACUAAAGACUGACCAAUGCGAAAGCAUUUGCCAAGGAUGUUUUCAUUAAUCAAGAACGAAAGUAGGGGGAUCGAAGACGAUCAGAUACCGUCGUAGUCUCUACCGUAAACUAUGCCGACCAGGGAUCCGGAGAGUUUGCAUGGAUGACUCCCCGGGCACCUUGUGAGAAAUCAUAAGUGUUUGGGUUUUGGGGGGAGUAUGGUCGCAAGGCUGAAACUUAAAGGAAUUGACGGAAGGGCACCACCAGGAGUGGAACCUGCGGCUUAAUUUGACUCAACACGGGGAAACUUACGAGGUCAGGACACUGUGAGGAUUGACAGAUUGAAAGCUCUUUCUUGAUUCAGUGGGUGGUGGUGCAUGGCCGUUCUUAGUUGGUGGAGUGAUUUGUCUGGUUAAUUCCGUUAA
rnacentral:rRNA from 1 species